AUUGAACGCUGGCGGCAGGCCUAACACAUGCAAGUCGAACGAGUGGCGGACGGGUGAGUAAUGUCUGGGAAACUGCCUGAUGGAGGGGGAUAACUAAUGGAAAAGGUAGCUAAUACCGCAUACCAUCAGAUGUGCCCAAAUGGGAUUGGCUAGUUGGUGGGGUAACGGCGCACCAAGGCGACGAUCCCUAGCUGGUCUGAGAGGAUGACCAGCCACACGGGAACUGAGACACGGUCCAGACUCCUACGGGAGGCAGCAGUGGGGAAUAUGGCACAAUGGGCGCAAGCCUGAUGCAGCCAUGCCGCGUGUAUGAAGAAGGCCUUCGGGUUGUAAAGUACUUUCAGCGGGGAGGCGUUACUCGCAGAAGAAGCACCGGCUAACUCCGUGCCAGCCGCCGCGGUAAUUC
rnacentral:rRNA from 1 species